GUUGAACGCUGGCGGCAGGCUUAACACAUGCAAGUCGAGCGGUAACAGAGAGAAGCUUGCUUCUCUGCUGACGAGCGGCGGACGGGUGAGUAAUGCCUAGGAAUCUGCCUAGUAGUGGGGGAUAACUUGCUGAAAGGUAAGCUAAUACCGCAUACGUCCUACGGGAGAAAGGAGGGGACCUUCGGGCCUUUCGCUAUUAGAUGAGCCUAGGUCGGAUUAGUUAGUUGGUGAGGUAAUGGCUCACCAAGACCGCGAUCCGUAACUGGUCUGAGAGGAUGAUCAGUCACACUGGAACUGAGACACGGUCCAGACUCCUACGGGAGGCAGCAGUGGGGAAUAUUGGACAAUGGGGGGAACCCUGAUCCAGCCAUGCCGCGUGUGUGAAGAAGGUCUUAGGAUUGUAAAGCACUUUAAGUUGGGAGGAAGAGCAGUUAACUGAUAUUUGACUGUUUUGACGUUACCGACAGAAUAAGCACCGGCUAACUUCGUGCCAGCCGCCGCAGUAA
rnacentral:rRNA from 1 species